UACGGAGGGGACUAGCGUUGUUCGGAAUUACUGGGCGUAAAGCGCACGUAGGCGGAUUUGUAAGUCAGGGGUGAAAUCCCGGGGCUCAACCUCGGAACUGCCUUUGAUACUGCAAAUCUCGAGUCCGGAAGAGGUGAGUGGAAUUCCUAGUGUAGAGGUGAAAUUCGUAGAUAUUAGGAAGAACACCAGUGGCGAAGGCGGACUCGCUGGUCCGGUACUGACGCUGAGGUGCGAAAGCGUGGGGAGCAAACAGGG
rnacentral:rRNA from 1 species